rnacentral:rRNA from 1 species
UGGGGAAUAUUGCACAAUGGGCGCAAGCCUGAUGCAGCCAUGCCGCGUGUGUGAAGAAGGCCUUCGGGUUGUAAAGCACUUUCAGCGAGGAGGAAGGUGGUGGACUUAAUACGUUCAUCAAUUGACGUUACUCGCAGAAGAAGCACCGGCUAACUCCGUGCCAGCAGCCACGGUAAUACGGAGGGUGCAAGCGUUAAUCGGAAUUACUGGGCGUAAAGCGCACGCAGGCGGUUUGUUAAGUCAGAUGUGAAAUCCCCGGGCUCAACCUGGGAACUGCAUUUGAAACUGGCAAGCUAGAGUCUCGUAGAGGGGGGUAGAAUUCCAGGUGUAGCGGUGAAAUGCGUAGAGAUCUGGAGGAAUACCGGUGGCGAAGGCGGCCCCCUGGACGAAGACUGACGCUCAGGUGCGAAAGCGUGGGGCAGCAAACAGGAUUAGAUACCCUGGUAGUCCACGCUGUAAACGAUGUCGAUUUGGAGGUUGUGCCCUUGAGGCGUGGCUUCCGGAGCUAACGCGUUAAAUCGACCGCCUGGGGAGUACGGCCGCAAGGUUAAAACUCAAAGGAAUUGAC